GCCUGUUAGCAAUAAGGCCCUCAGCUUCUUGCUUUGCAGCAGAAUGAGGUAAGAUCUAUCCUUCUCUUGCUGUUGUUAAAAACAUUUCAACAGUUAGUUCUUUUUCCCAGAAAACGCUGCAGGUUGGUUCCAGGUUAAAAAGCAAAAAUUACCACGAUUGAAUUUUACACUUGACUAUGCUUUGGCCAGGAUGCAUGAUAAGUUAAAGCAUACUGAGAGACUAUUUUUUUUUUAAGAGGGAAAACUUGAUAGAGGAUUGUAUUUCUAGAUUAGAGAGUGGGCACUGUAAUCUUUCUGACAUUGUAAACCUGAAGCUGGCUGCAGGGAAAAUAAACAUUACAACACCCGACACUUAAACAAUUGUACCUAUUCGGUUAAGUAACAAAAGCGUGAGGCACCUGGAAUCAGCAGCAUUUGUGCCUAAUGCCAGCAACAAUAUAAAGCAUUCAAGUGACAUUUGAUAAUGAGCAGACAGUGGAGGCAUUACACACGUCUUUAGAAGAAUCAGACUUCCUACCUUGAAAAGACAGAUGGAGGUUUCCACCACUGACCAAGGAUAUUGGACGAUUUUCAUCUCUUCCCUUCCCUCCGAUGACAUGAGGGUGUAUUGUUUUGGUCAUUCAAAGAGCUGAUCUUCACGACCUAGAUGAAAUCAGAUUGCUAUCCAGUGUAAUGAAUUCCCUAAAGAAUGGAAAGACACUUUUCCAGGGGAGAAAUCAGGAUAUCUUGCUUAAUAAAUUACUGCUAAAACUUGGAAAAAAUACAAAAAGAAAAUAAAUGGCUGUAGAUCUUUGUGAAACAGGCCAAGUAUACUUUCAGUAUGUUAUUCGAUAAUUUAUAAAGCAUGUUAAAUCACAUGUCAUAUGCUGGGUAAAAUAAUGUGUAUUAUGUUAUUGUACUCAUUCUAGAUUUGCAUUGAAAAGAACAUAUUAUCAGCAUGAAUGUUGCAAAUAAGCUAAAACGUAAGCCUUCAGGAUAGCUUGAGGAAUUUAUGUAGUUAGACAGCCUUGGAUUCUGAAUCUUUCUUUAGCCAUGUCCAGUCAUCAGAUAUCUAAAGGUUUGCUAUUGUUUUGUCCUUCACCUACAAAAAAAGAUGCGAUGAUGUUUAUCUGCAACUCUUAUAGCGGAUGGAAGAGUAGCAAAGAUCAAUAGGUUAAUACUUAUAAACCACAAUUCAGGUGACAAAAAGUCUGCAGAUGCAUAAAAUAAACAUUAUGCUAAUGAUAGACUAUUGAUCAUAAAAAAAUUACUCUGCUCCAGGGUAACACCUUUCUUUUUCUUUUGUUCUGUGGGUUGUACGUGUGUUAGUCUUAGAUAGAUAGUAAGUAAUAGUUAUAAUUAUCAUUUAAUAACCCCAAGACUGAUGUGAAGGCCAGAGGUCUCAAUAUUCUUUCUACAAGGAUUUUUUUUAUUACCAAAGUUGUAUACCUGAGACAUGAAUAAAUUAAAACCUUUCACACUUUGUCAGAUAAAGCAAAACAUAUACUAAGAUGACAAUAAACUCUGUUGUUCUAGCUUUUUGCUUAGGAAUCUACUAAAUAAAAUCAUUUUGAAAAUAAUUUAUAUUUUGUGUAGUGUUUUUAACUUUUUCAAAGAAUUUCCUAUUUUUGUAUAUUUAUGUUCAUUUGCUGCAUAUGAGAAUGUGGAUAUGU